GAUGAACGCUGGCGGCGUGCCUAAUACAUGCAAGUCGAGCGAACAGACGAGGAGCUUGCUCCUCUGACGUUAGCGGCGGACGGGUGAGUAACACGUGGAUAACCUACCUAUAAGACUGGGAUAACUUCGGGAAACCGGAGCUAAUACCGGAUAAUAUAUUGAACCGCAUGGUUCAAUAGUGAAAGACGGUUUUGCUGUCACUUAUAGAUGGAUCCGCGCCGCAUUAGCUAGUUGGUAAGGUAACGGCUUACCAAGGCAACGAUGCGUAGCCGACCUGAGAGGGGGACCGGCACAAGGGAAGCGAAGACGCGUCCAAACCUCCAGGGGGAGACGGGGGAGGGAAUUCUCCGGAAGGGGGGAAAGGCGAAAGGGGGCAAGGCGGCGGAAGUAAGAAGGUGCUCGGAUUCGAAAACCUUUGUUUUAGGAGAAGAACAAAUGUAUAGUAAACUAGACGCGUCUGAAGGUACCUAAAGAAGAAGCCCCGGCUAACCUCGU
rnacentral:rRNA from 1 species